rnacentral:misc_RNA from 1 species
GUGAAUCAUCGAAUCUUUGAACGCAAAUUGCACUCUCUGGUAUUCCGGAGAGUAUGCCUGUUUGAGGGUCAGUUAAAUAAAAAUCGGUGUGGUUGCUGCUUUUCGUGGUGACGCACCGGAUUUGGGUCGUCUUGCCUUCGGUUAAGUGACCUAAAAUUUUGCAUGAUUUUUUCGAACGGAUUUAAAUGAUUUUACGUACGUUGGCGAUAUCGAAUACGAGGUUUGUUCAUCCUCAGAAUUCCGGCCUA